AUUGAACGCUGGCGGCAUGCCUUACACAUGCAAGUCGAACGGUAACAGGUCUUCGGAUGCUGACGAGUGGCGAACGGGUGAGUAAUACAUCGGAACGUGCCCGAUCGUGGGGGAUAACGAGGCGAAAGCUUUGCUAAUACCGCAUACGAUCUACGGAUGAAAGCGGGGGAUCUUCGGACCUCGCGCGGACGGAGCGGCCGAUGGCAGAUUAGGUAGUUGGUGGGAUAGAAGCUUACCAAGCCGACGAUCUUUAGCUGGUCUGAGAGGAUGAUCAGCCACACUGGAACUGAGACACGGCCCAGACUCCUACGGGAGGCAGCAGUGGGGAAUUUUGGACAAUGGGCGAAAGCCUGAUCCAGCCAUGCCGCGUGCAGGAUGAAGGCCUUCGGGUUGUAAACUGCUUUUGUACGGAACGAAAAGCCUCUUUCUAAUAAAGAGGGGUCAUGACGGUACCGUAAGAAUAAGCACCGGCUAACUACGUG
rnacentral:rRNA from 1 species